UACAGAGGUCCCAAGCGUUGUUCGGAUUCAUUGGGCGUAAAGGGUGCGUAGGCGGCGCGGUAAGUCGGGUGUGAAAUCUCGGAGCUUAACUCCGAAACUGCAUUCGAUACUGCCGUGCUUGAGGACUGGAGAGGAGACUGGAAUUUACGGUGUAGCGGUGAAAUGCGUAGAUAUCGUAAGGAAGACCAGUGGCGAAGGCGGGGUCUCUGGACAGUUCCUGACGCUGAGGCACGAAGGCCAGGGGGAGCAAAACGGG
rnacentral:rRNA from 1 species